UGUGCUUUAUUUCUGUUCAAAAAUAUUUACUGUGGAGAGUGCCUUCAUACCUCGGCCACCUGCAAAUUCCCAAGUCUUUCGCCGCCUUCUACUACUACCCAAUACCCUCUCUUUGCAAUCUUUUUAACUGAUUACUUUCUUUUCUUUAUUUAUCCCUCCUCUCUCUCUCUCUCUCUCUCUCUCUCUCUCUCUCUCUAAAUCUUCUUUACAUUUUCGAGAAGUACAGUUGUUUUUCUUGGAGCUUAAAAACCCAAGUGGGAGUUUAGCUGUGAAGAUUUGUACUUUUUUGGAAAGCUAGGCUGAGCAUGUGGAGACCCAAAUAUUGGUACUUUCAAGAAUAAAAGAAGUUAUCUUUGAAGUAAAUAAUACUUAGUUCAAGACUGAGAUUUUCUUGCAUAAAGUUUGGUGCUUUUUUCAUUUGGAUGAGAGCUGAUCUUGGAGCUGAGUGUUAAUUUUCGUGUGUUUUGAAGAGGUGUGGAAGAUUUCCUAAAAAUGUCAGAGUGCCCAAAGUUAGAGCAAUUCUGAGUUAGCAGUUAUCACACACCUCUCCACCAUGCCUCUCUCUGAGUUUUUGAAAAUGGCUAGAGGGAAGCUUGAAUCUGGCCAACAGAGAAUCUCAUCUACAACUCAUCUCUCUUCUUUUCCUGAGAAUGACUUGGUUGAGCUUGUAUGGGAAAAUGGUCAGAUUAUGAUGCAAGGCCAGUCCAGUAGUGCUAAGAAGAACCCUAUUCCUAAUAAACUUCCAUCAAAUGUCUCAAAGAUUGGGAAGUUUGGUGUGAUGGACUCUAUGUUGAAUGAUAUGCCAUUAUCUGUGCCCACUGAUGAACUGGAUUUGAUUCAAGAGGAUGAAGGGGUGCCUUGGUUAGGUUAUGCAGCAGAUGAUAGUCUUCAACAAGAUUAUUGUUCUCAGUUUUUGCCUGAAAUAUCUGGUUUGACGGCAAAUGAACCAUCCAGACAGAGUGAAUUUGGUUUAAUAAAUAAGAGAGGUAGUUCCGAUAAGAUGAUUAGGGAUUCACAUAGUGUUCCUAUUCAUAAUGCUGGUAAUUUUGAGCAAAGAAAGGUUUCUCCUUCUUCCAAAUUUAGCCUGUUAUGUUCAUUGGCACCUCAGAAAGGUCAUCUAGAAUCAGGAGUUUCAGAUGUCUUUAGCAGUAAAAUUAGCAAUACUCCAGUGUCUGUGUAUGGGGAUUCAGGUCAAAAUCAAGCUGCAGCUGGUGAGGUCAAAAGCAUUAAAAUCCAAAAGCAAAAUAUGUCUGGAAGUUGCUCCAGUUUGCCGAACUUUUCACAUUUCUCAAGACCUGCUACAUUUGUUAAAGCAGCGAAGCUUCAAAAUAUUACUGGGGGUCCGAAUGUCUCAGAUUCAUAUACCGUAGAAGCAAAGGGGAGUAAAGAAGGAGAAAAUGUGACAAAUAGCCACAAUAAUGUAAAUGCUGCAGCAGUUGAAGACUAUUUAAGUUCCAAGAAGGAAAAUGACCUCCAUUAUCCAACUAAUGUGGUACCUUCCCAACUCGAGUCAAGAGCAUCUGGGGAUAGCUUUCAUGAUAGAUCAUGUCGUGUUGAACAGUCUGAUAAUGUGUUCAGAGAUCGUUCGAGUAAUAGUGCCAACACCCCUGGUCAGUUUACUGGUGCAAAGGCAACGACAGAUACAGCUGAUGGUGAGAGAAAUGUUGAACAUGGGGUUGUUUGCUCAUCUGUAUGCUCUGGUAGCAGUGCAGAGAGAGGAUCAAGUGAUCAGCCUCAUAAUCUAAAGAGGAAAACCCGAGAUAAUGAGGAUUCCGGGUGUCCAAGUGAAGAUGUUGAAGAAGAAUCUGUUGGUAUAAAAAAAACAUGCCCUACUCGAGGAGGUACAGGUUCAAAGAGAAGCCGAGCUGCAGAGGUGCAUAAUUUGUCUGAGCGGAGGCGAAGGGAUAGGAUUAAUGAAAAGAUGCGUGCAUUACAGGAACUAAUACCCAACUGCAAUAAGGCGGAUAAAGCUUCAAUGCUUGAUGAAGCUAUUGAGUAUUUGAAGACACUUCAACUGCAAGUACAGAUAAUGUCUAUGGGAGCAGGGUUUUGUGUCCCACCAAUGAUGUUUCCUGCUGGAGUGCAGCACAUGCAUGCUGCCCAAAUGCCACAUUUCUCUCCAAUGGGUUUAGGGAUGGGUAUGGGAAUGGGGAUGGGCUAUGGAAUGGGUAUGCUUGACAUGAAUGGUAGAUCGUCUGGCUGCCCUGUUUUUCCAAUCCCCUCUGUUCAAGGAUCUCAUUUUCCGUCACCUCCAAUUCCUGCCACUGCUGCUUAUCCAGGAAUAGCUGUAUCUAGUCGUCAUGCCUUUGCACAUCCUGGUCAAGGACUUCCCAUGCCAAUCCCACGACCAUCUUUGGCUCCUUUGGCAGGGCAAUCAUCAACUGGUGCUGCUGUCCCUUUGAACGCUGCAAGGGUAGGAGUUUCAGUGGACAGACCGAGUGUACCACCAAUUUUGGAUUCCAAAAAUCCAGUACACAAGAAGAACUCACGGAUAGUCCGUGAUGCUGAAUCUAGCCUCCCAAUAAAUCAGACAUGCAGUCAGGCUGAUACCUCGUAGGAAGCUUGUUAGGGAGACUAGGGAUGCACCUAAUGUCAAGGGACCUCUAGGUGUGCCAGCUUGUUCAAACUUCAAUAUUCAGGAGCAACUCAGAAUUCUUCUUGGGUCACACAUGCUGCUGUUGGUUCCUAGUGCUGUUAGAUAUUUCUCAAAUUCCAUGGCGAAUAGCUUGGUAUCUAGUUGGUGACUUAGGCAAAUGCUUUGAGUUUCUUCAUGGUUAUUACUGGCUUACUAGCACACACUUGGAGACACUUUGAAUUUUCUGGUUCCAUGGUGCAAGCAGCAAAUGAAAUUCUGGACAAAUCAGCUUUGGUGCAAAAAAAUGAUCAACUCCUUGAUGUUACUGGUAGUGCAGCUAAUAACUUGACCAACCAAACAGAUGUGCCUGGAAGUGAAGCUGGUUCCAGUCUGUAGACACAACUUUAUGUUCUGAUCACUGACCGUGGAUUGUUCAUCUUAUGGAAGAGGUCAUUUUCUCAAUCAGCGGAAGGUUGCCCCGUUUAAAUCCGACCAGUAUGCAGUUCUGAAAUCGAAUUGUUGUUAACUGGUAGAGUUCCAUGCUGGUUUUUGCAACUACCAUCGGAAUGUAGCAUCAACAUACACGACGAAUGCACAGAUUUUGGUAAUGUAAAGAGAGACCAUAAUUUUCUCCUUCAAAUGUACAUCCAAGAUAUCUAAAAGCAGUUGGAGCAUACUUCUUCCCACCCUCCCCAUGAAGGAUCAUGUAUUUGGCAUCUCAACUGUGUUAUGUCAUGUGUACCAGACAUAUCAACAUGUGCUCUAAUAAUAAGAAAGCGCAAGCCAGUUCUCAUUUA